GCAUGGUCUAGUAUAAGCAUCUAUACUGUGAAACUGCGAAUGGCUCAUUAAAUCAGUUAUCGUUUAUUUGAUAGUACCUUACUACAUGGAUACCUGUGGUAAUUCUAGAGCUAAUACAUGCUAAAAACCCCGACUUCGGGAGGGGUGUAUUUAUUAGAUAAAAAACCAAUGCCCCUCGGGGCUCCUUGGUGAAUCAUAAUAACUUAACGAAUCGCAUGGCCUUGCGCCGGCGAUGGUUCAUUCAAAUUUCUGCCCUAUCAACUUUCGAUGGUAGGAUAGUGGCCUACCAUGGUGGCAACGGGUAACGGGGAAUUAGGGUUCGAUUCCGGAGAGGGAGCCUGAGAAACGGCUACCACAUCCAAGGAAGGCAGCAGGCGCGCAAAUUACCCAAUCCCGACACGGGGAGGUAGUGACAAUAAAUACUGAUACGGGGCUCUUUUGGGUCUCGUAAUUGGAAUGAGUACAAUCUAAAUCCCUUAACGAGGAACAAUUGGAGGGCAAGUCUGGUGCCAGCAGCCGCGGUAAUUCCAGCUCCAAUAGCGUAUAUUAAAGUUGUUGCAGUUAAAAAGCUCGUAGUUGAACCUUGGGUCUGGCUGGCCGGUCCGCCUCACCGCGAGUACUGGUCCGGCUGGACCUUUCCUUCUGGGGAAUCCCAUGGCCUUCACUGGCUGUGGGUGGAACCAGGACUUUUACUGUGAAAAAAUUAGAGUGUUCAAAGCAGGCCUUUGCUCGGAUACAUUAGCAUGGAAUAAUAGAAUAGGACGUGCGGUUCUAUUUUGUUGGUUUCUAGGACCGCCGUAAUGAUUAAUAGGGAUAGUCGGGGGCGUCAGUAUUCAGCUGUCAGAGGUGAAAUUCUUGGAUUUGCUGAAGACUAACUACUGCGAAAGCAUUCGCCAAGGAUGUUUUCAUUAAUCAGGGAACGAAAGUUAGGGGAUCGAAGACGAUCAGAUACCGUCGUAGUCUUAACCAUAAACUAUGCCGACUAGGGAUCGGGCGGCGUUUCUAUGAUGACCCGCUCGGCACCUUACGAGAAAUCAAAGUUUUUGGGUUCU
rnacentral:rRNA from 1 species